rnacentral:lncRNA from 1 species
GAGUCCAGUCCAGGCAGGGUUUCUCUGUAUUGCUCUGGCUGUCCUGGAACUCAUUUUGAAGACCAGGCUGGCCUCGAACUCGGAAAUCCGCCUGCCUCUGCCUCCCAAGCACUAGGGAUUAAAGGUGUGCGCCACCACCGCCCGGCAUACUUUUUCAUUUUGUAAAAACCAAGUUUCCUUAUAUAGAUAAAUACCGGGCAGGUGUGUAGAGGUCUUAAAACGUUACAGGAGAGGAGGAAGGUCUGGGAAGCUCUGGAGGCACUGGGAGAUGGAAAUAGUUAAUUUUCUAGUGGUUAAAAGUCACAGUGUGUGGUGCUCUUUGUGUCUGAAUACAGUAGGUAGGCAGUGGAUGUUAGGGACUGCCAUACAUUGAACACUUCCAGAAAGUGUUUAGUGCUUUAAAUACUUGUGGCUUACUCAUGACAGACUGUUUUUAUUAAUCUAGUUCAGGCUAGUAGCCAUUUUAAGCAGCAAAAAUUGCAUUCCCCCACAAAGUUCCACACUGAAUCUGACCAUCAGAAUUAACUGGGAGGUGCUUUAAAAUACAGAUCUGCCAUCUCCAUUAUUUACCAAGAUGAGCUGUGGUCAGUUUUAGCGUGGCACUCCACCUCCAGGACUGAAAUUCCGGCCUCAUCAGGGAGAAGUUGGAAUGAGAGUCCAUUGUUUGAGAGCCCAUGGGGACAGCUAGUACUCUCGCCGAUUUAGAACUAGACUGUACUAGACUAGAACUUGAUGUGCGGGAGGGGGCAACAUCGGAUUUUCGGUCCAUAUUAUUUUGGUUUGAGUGACAGCUCAUUAUUUUUCCCUUUCUUCCUGCCAUGUAUUAAAGUCAUUUAAAGCUUUUUUUUUUUUUGUAGAGAAUUUAGAUAUCAUGAGAUUUUUAAAUCUUAGUACUGAGUCUGCUUCUGAGUGUUACUGGAGGGUUUUUUAAAUUACAUUUCCUUUCUACCACAUGGGUCCUGAGGAUUAAACUCGGGUCGUUGGGCUUACAGUGAAUCACCUUUCCCCUCGGCCAUCUCUGUGGCCCUAUUACUGGAGUACUUAGGGCAAAAGCCCUGGCUCUGGCCCUACCAACAGGCCAGACUCCACGCUGGUCUAGGUACACCAAUAAAAGAGGAGUAGGGGUGAAAAGCUGACACAUUGUGGCCUCAUUGAGACUAGGGACAGGUCAAGAGACUUAUCAAACCCUUCUUGCAGGCACUGACAUUACCCAGAAUUCCAUCCUCAGCGGGUUUUGAUGUUACACAGGAAAAAUGGCCAGGAAAGCAGGAGGUGGAGGUGGAAGGAAGGAGUCCGGUUCCCCGUGUAGUCUGGUUCCCGAGAAACUAGUGGCUUGUGCUCCAAGCAGCCACCUCAUCCCGGAUCCGGGCAGCCCCAGCCCUGCAGGCCCACAGCCCCUGGAGGCCCUUGCCACAGGGAUGUUAUCAGUCCUGUUUGUUCCUAGAAUUCAAGGUGACUCAAGAGGAAAGAUUAAGAUAGGACACCGAGCUAGAGAGAAAUCAGAUAGGCCAGUAACUGCCCGCCUUCAAGUCCAGCCAAGCCGAGUAGACAGGAUAGCUGUGUAGCUUAAAAGGUUUUCACUUGCAUGUGGACACAAAGCCCAAAAGCUUUUAAAACCGUGGUUUCUCUAAAAUAGUCUAGUUUAUAGGGAAAGAAUCAUUAAAAGUAGUGGUGAGUGGAAUUUAAAACAAGACAUCUGAACUCAUGGAAUUCACAGCCAGUGGGAGAAAACCUGUAAGCUGGAGGUUUCAUAUGAGUUGGGAGUAGCCCUUGCUGCCUAGUAAGUUUCUCCGAAGGCAUGAGCUGUGCUAGCCACCUCAGAAGCAGGGUUUGUCGUUCCAAGCCGCCUGUGUAGAGCAGACUGAAAGGGAGCGAAGGCUGCCGAGCUUCUCUGGAGCUGCUGUGAUUAGGCCACUUAGGGAAUUCUUAGAUUUGUCCUAAUUGCAGUGAGAAGCUAUGGUCUAAGGGAGUAGGGUGGGGAUUUGAACUCAGGGCUGCAAGCAUUGCUAACGAGCAAUCCACUGCGGAGGAUUUUUGUUUUGAAACUUCAGUAUCAUAGUCGUGCUUAAUUGCUUGGGCUCAAGUUUUGUGUUCAUGUGAUCCUCCUGCCUCAGUUUCCUAGUCCUAGGACUACCAGUGCAGAAGUGCUCAUGUUCUUUAUAGACGAUUUGACCGCUGUGUAAAAGGUAGGGAUUAGAAAGGUUUGCACUGUAGUCUGGUCCUGCAAGAGCGGAAGGAAUCAAGAAUGUCUUCUCAGCCGGGCGUGGUGGCGCACGCCUUUAAUCCCAGCACUCGGGAGGCAGAGGCAGGCAGAUUUCUGAGUUCGAGGCCAGCCUGGUCUACAAAGUGAGUUCCAGGACAGCCAGGGCUAUAAAGAGAAACCCUGUCUUGAAAAACCAAAAAAAAAAAAAAAAAAAAAAAAAAGAAUGCCUCUCAUUUAUGCUUCUCAUUUAUGGGCCAAGCUUUGAGUGGCUGACGGUGCCACUUAGAAUUUGGAGACGACCAGAAGAGGACUAGCUGGCAAGGGAUGGUGACAGGAUUCAUAUGCCACUUGUUGGGUACCAAAAUUGAGCUGUUAGAAGUCACUGGCUGGUGGGUGUGUCCUGGGAGCAGCCCAAGUCAUGUGAGAGCACAGAAGUGGACCAAGCUGUGCAAGGACAGUAGUGUGCCCAGUGGAAUGCUGAGGAGUUAGGCCGUGGCGGCAUGCCCACCCAUCUGACAAGCAGCUUCUCUGCCGUGUGAGUUGAAGGGCUGGGCUCAAAGAGUGGGGAGUAAAUACUGCAGCGGGGUUACAGCCUCAUUUUGAGUACUUGGUGUGGGGAGAGAAUGUGUGUGUGUAGGUCUGUCAAGUCUUUCAUCUUUAACAUGGUUCUGGAGAUCAAACCCAAGGCUUAGGCACUUUACCUCCAGAGCCAUUUUCCAACAUUUUCACAUGAGCUGAGAGUAUCUACCCAAGAGGGAGAGAUUAAUAAAACAGCAAGUCUGAUAAAGGGGCAGGAUUCUUGAGAAAGGACAAAGAAUUUCAGAUCUAAGAACAAGGUUUAUCAGGGUGGGAGGAGAGUGGAGUGAAGGCAGAAAAGAAGAGCAGGAGUUAGAGGGAGUGAAACCUCGGAGGCGGGGAUGGAGGGCAGGCUGUGGUGCUCUCACGCAUGGCCAGCAUCUUGCAGGAAGAACAGGUGGCGGCUGGUUUCAGAAGGAAGUUGUUGGUCAUCUCGGGCUGCAGGGCAAGUGGGACAUAAGACACCUGCAGGCUGCUGCCUGGAGCCCUGAGUCUGCGCACUGAGAGCUCUGUACUGCUGUGCUGUUUCCCAGCCCCAGUUUGACUUUUUGACCUUUGCACAGUUGCACUGGGGAGAGGGAGAGGUGUUGAGGGAAGAAAGUAUCCAAAGGAUGCCAGUGGAAAUGUAUAAAACCCUUAACCAGCUGGCUCCUCUUUGAGGCAGCUGGUAGUACUUUUUCUUAGGUUCGUGUCCCUUGAACUGGCUACAGAAUAACAGUAGAGGGAAAUUAGGGAAAAAGGGGGGGGGGCUGGUGAGAUGGCUCAGCAGGUUAAGAGCGCCAACUGCUCUUCUGAAGGUCCUGAGUUCAAAUCCCAGCAACCAUAUGAUGACUCACAACCAUCAGUAAUGAGAUCUGAUGCCCUCUUCUGGGGUGUGUGAAGACAGCUACAGUGUACUUACAUAUAAUAAAUCUUUAAAAAAAAAAGGGGGGGGUGGGGGAGGCUGGAGAGAUGGCUCAGCAGUUCCAAAGGUCCCGAGUUCAAAUCCCAGCAACCACAUGGUGGCUCACAACCAUCCGUAAUGAGAUCUGACGCCCUCUUCUGGUGCGUCUGAAGACAGCUACUGUGUACUUAGAUAUAAUAAUAAAUCUUUUUAAAAGAAAAGAAAAAAGGCAUUCAAAAUUGAUUACUGUAACUGGCUUAGAAGAUGCAGGGCCAUUUGUUAGGGAUGGAGGUUAAGAAGGCCUGAAUAUAGGGAGAAAGGAUGCAUUCCUGGGAGGUGUCUUAGUUGGAUGGAAAUAGUGGGGAAGAGAAACAGCCACUAAGCAGCAGCAUGUGGGAUGAGCAGAGCUCUCCCAGCAAGUAGUGUUAAUAAAGAUGCUUGAAGGAUGCCUUGGGAUGGGAUGCUGGGUGGGGCCGCUGGGUCUUUACUGUCCUCUCUCCCUUCCCUCCAGUGCUUCCAUUCAGGAAAGUCCCAAGGGCUCCCUUAGUCCUAGACACUCUUGAAAGGGUGUGACUUGUUUAAUUAUCAAUUUCUUAAUAAAGUUGUAAAUUGAACACUUCCUGUUCUUGUGGCUUCUUUGGCUCACUGGCUACAAACACAUCAAACACUGCGUUAGAAGAACCAAAGCUCUUAAGUCAGGAUAGGUGUUGCCUCUCAAAGUGGCUUAUUUCAGGUCCACCAAAUCCAACUUCCUUACAUCAUCAGGAGUUCAACUUUGUUCCUGGCUAGAAUGUAAACAUUUCACAAAUAUUAUUUGUCUCACUUUUAUCCUGCUUCACACCCUGAUGGCCUUUCAAUACAUGUUAAAGUCGGUGGGUACAGUGGCACACACCUUUAAUCCCAGCUCUCAGGGAGGCAGAAGCAAGAGGAUCUCUAUAUUUGAGGCCAGUGUGAACUACACUGGGUUCUAGGCCAAACUAGGCUACAUGGUGAGAUCCUGUCUGAAGAUAUUGCUGAAGGUCCAUCCCUAGUUUCUGUAUUAUGAAAAGAGUCAAUGACCUACCUAAGGUCCCUUGGGAAGAGUCCCUGAAUUAUUACAUUUUGGCAUUUAUACUAAACUGUUUAAUCUACAACUAGUACAGCUGUAUACAGCUGAGAUUUCUGAGGUCUAGCAAGUUAAAAUUGACCUUGACCAGGCAUGAUGGCACUUGUCCUGUGGUGCUGGCUGAAAAGACCCAGGGUCCGAGGCUGAAGUAAGGAUCACUUUAGGAGAGCGAGAGCUUGGACAACAGAGUUUUGGGGGUUGUUUUGUUUGGGGUAGAGGGAUCGAGACAGGGUUUCUCUGUGUGGCCCUGGCUGUCCUGGAACUCACUCUGUAGACGAGGCUGGCCUCGAACUCAGAAAUCCACCUGCUUCUGCCUCCCAAGUGCUAAAGGCGUGCACCACAACUGCCCAGCUGUUUUGGUUCUUUUUAAAAAAUAAAGUCAAGGCUGCUGGGGUGAGGAGGUUCAGUGGUGAAACGAGCGGCCAUGAACCUGACACCAGCCUCGACACAUGCCGGAGCAGACUCCUAUCUCCUCAGGACUAGGUUAUCCUCAGUGCUCCUAGGAAGGGGAGCUCCUGGCAGUAAGGUGAUUGGGAUACUAGGUGUCAUUCCGGGCCUGAGCUGACAGUUUAUCUGUGUUUGCUGGAGAGCAGGCCUGGGCCUCAGGCGUGAUUUUCACAUGUGCAUUCCCAGCCCUGUUUUGUUUUGAGACAAAGACUUACUCUGUUGCUCUGGCUGGCCUAGAACUCAUUUCAUACAAGAGGACUGGGCUCAAAAAAGUCCUCCUGCCUCAGCAUCCUGAAUGCUGGGAGUGCACUUAUGCCUGACUAAAAGUAUGUUUUUGUUUUUGUGGUUUUGCUUUGUUUUUUGAGAUCUUAUUUUUAUUUUGUGUGUCUAGAUGUUUUGCCUGCGUUUAUUUAUGUAUGUGCACCACAUGCAUGCAGUGCCCUCGGAGGCCAGAAGAGGACUUCGAAGACCCUUUGGAGUUGGAGUUACAGGCCUUUGAUUGCUACCAGGGUUUUGUCGUUUUGAUUUGAAGUUUAUUUUAGCUUGUUUUAGUUUUGUUUUUGAAACAGGGCUUCUUUGUUGUAGCCCUGACUGGCCUCAGACUUAGAAAUCUACCUGCCUUUGUCUGUGCUGGGAUUAAAGGCGUGCGCCACCCACUACCACCACCCAGCCUUACUUUUAGCUUUUAAUAUAAAGGAAGCAAACCAUAUAUUUUUUUCCUUUAUAAACUCUGAGAUUUCCUAGAAGUGCAGAUAAGUGUACUUAGAAGUAGGCUAAUCCUUACUGGUGUUUGUAUUCUGACUCCCUAGAUCUGUGAACAUUUGACUUUAGAAAUUGCAGAAGUCUGCCCAGGAUUCCUCUAGGUGAGAUCACACAUAAAGGGAAAAAAAGCACCUUGGCACUGGGACGUGUUUAGAGCCUCAUCUGCUCUCUAGGUCUCUUUCUCAUCCUUUCAUUUUUCUUACUUUCACAAUUUGUCCAGCCCAGGCUGGCCUUGAACUAUUGGCAGUCCUGCCUUAGCCUCAAGUUCUGGGAUUACAACAGAAGCCACCAAACCUGGCUCUCCAGACAGAAGCC